UUUAUGGAGAGUUUGAUCCUGGCUCAGGACGAACGCUGGCGGCGUGCCUAACACAUGCAAGUCGAACGGAGUUAUU
rnacentral:ncRNA from 1 species